ACGGAAGGCAGCAGUGGGGAAUAUUGGGCAAUGGGGGAAACCCUGACUCAGCAACGCCGCGUGAAGGAAGAAGGCCUUCGGGUUGUAAACUUCUUUUACCAGGGACGAUAAUGACGGUACCUGGAGAAAAAGCAACGGCUAACUACGUGCCAGCAGCCGCGGUAAUACGUAGGUUGCAAGCGUUGUCCGGAUUUACUGGGUGUAAAGGGCGUGUAGGCGGAGCUGCAAGUCAGAUGUGAAAUCCCGGGGCUCAACCCCGGAACUGCAUUUGAAACUGUAGCCCUUGAGUAUCGGAGAGGCAAGCGGAAUUCCUAGUGUAGCGGUGAAAUGCGUAGAUAUUAGGAGGAACACCAGUGGCGAAGGCGGCUUGCUGGACGACAACUGACGCUGAGGCGCGAAAGCGUGGGGAGCAAACAGGAUUAGAUACCCUGGUA
rnacentral:rRNA from 1 species